rnacentral:sRNA from 1 species
UGUAAAUCUAUUUUCAUCUUGUUAUCGGUUUAAUGUGAAACCCGAAUGUUGUACGAUUUAGGCUUUGUGUAAAAAGAAAUUUUCACGGAAGUGGACGAAAAAAAUUUUGCUCUCACCGUUUGUCAAAGUGAGAACUGGUUUUCACGGUUUGUCUUUUCAUUCAAUUUUGGACCAAAUUACCCUGAGAAAACUUAAUAAUGGCACAAACCAAACCGUGCAGCAGUUCGUAUCGGUUAAGUUGAUGGCAUAAACCAAACCCUACAGCAGUUCGUUUCGGUUUAGUUUAUGCGGUUCAGUUUUGAAAAAGACAAAAAAAAAACUGAAACGAAGAAACCGAAGAAAAAGAAAAAGAGAAGAGAGUAACAGAGAGAUUCGAGAGAGAAUUAGAAAGCGAAACGAAAUUCAGUAUCCAUUGCUUCAAAAUUCGACAUAACUUCGAAUUGUUGGGUAGUUGAAUUGAGCCACUGAACUCCCACAACCGGGGAAAGUUACUGUUUCUCCCGGCGAAGCCAAGAGAAAGUUACUGUUUAUUCCGGCGAGAUAGCAACUUUAGCUAUGGCUGGGAAUAAAGCAAACGACGAAGUCCCGAGGAAGCAGCAUGGUCCAGGGAAGGAGAAGCGGGUAUUAAGAGUUUCCCCGCGGAGAAAACGCUCUGCGACAAAGGCAACGGAGGAACUGGGUUAGAAUCUCUCAUUUACCGUUUGUUGUUUUUGGGUGUAUCAGAAUUGUAAAGCUUGUUUGAUUAAAGGGUUAGAACUAGUCGGAAUUUAGCAUAUCUUUAGGAUAAAAAAUUGAGAAGUAGAAUUGGAAAUCUCUGUUUCCGCCAAAAAUAUGAUUUUGAGUUAUAAUCUGGAAAAUGUCUGUGUACGUACACUACUUCGUUUUGCUUAACAGUAUAUCACUUUUAAUUGCAGGUAGUCCAAGUGUUGCUCCAACUGAAGAUCUUACAGUUGAAGAGUUACCACCAAGACUCUUUGCUCUAGACCGGUACCCUUCCGAGACGAAGAUGAACGCGUACUCUAAACAGGAGU